AUUUAAAUGGUACCUUUUAACACUGCUUUUUUCUAUCUUAACAUUUAUUUGAAAUUCAUUCUCUCUCUCUCUCUCUCUCUCUCUCUCUCUCUCUCUCUCCUGUUUCCUUUACUAUAGCAUCACCUUCCUGAAGAAAUAAUUUGGUGGCUUUGAUUUUUACUGUAUUUUUGGUGCUUAGUGCUGAUACAUGGAAAGGACUUGGUUGUUGUUUAUUGAGUGAGUUAUGGGAAACUGUGGCAGGGUUAGAUGAGAAAGAUGGGCUGAUUUGUAUGUUCCAACAAGCUCUCUAGCCACAGGAUAGAGAAGAGAUUUGCAAAUAAGCCUGAAGUUUGUGGUAUACAUUUGAGUGACAGUUUUAUUAGAGCAGCCACCAAGAACAUUCACUAACUCGCUUAUACCAGAGACACCUACUGUGGUCUGAUCUAGGCCCCAUGUCCUGUGCCAGCCAGAGAGAUUACCAAAUUCCCUUCCUAUGCUGGGGUACUGAGAGUCAUGUACUCUUUGCUGAAGCUAAUCAUUGCC
rnacentral:lncRNA from 1 species